rnacentral:sRNA from 1 species
GCUGGGCGCAGUGGCACGUGCCUGUAAUCCCAGCAGCUUGGGAGGCUGAGUCAGGAGGAUCCUGAGUUCAAAGCCAGUCUCAGCAACAGCAAGGUACCAAGCAACUCAGUGAGACCCUGUCUUGA